rnacentral:lncRNA from 1 species
GAACCCGCUCCCUGUUCUGGCCCAUGGGGGCGGGGGCGGGCCUCCUCUCCCAGGCCUGCACCGCAUCCCGUCCCGCCACAGCCAUGAAGGGGGAGAAGUCGCCCCAGAACACGACCUGGCCUGGGCUGCCCAGGUGCCACCAGCCACAGACAGGGUGUUGGGAGCAGCGAUCCAAAUUACGGUCCUCAAGCCGGCGACAGGAGCACAUCUGAGCUGGGAACUUGUGCAAAGGCCCAGGUGAGACUGCCCAGUUAACUGUGGUGAUGCCCUGUUCAGAAGAGGUCCCAGCCUGUUAUGGGACUGUCACUUCUGACUCCAGUUCAGACACUAGCUGCAGGGGUGAAGAAUUGUGAGCAGAGUCUGGUCACGAUGGGCUGCCCCCAACCGCGACCUUUGUCCUGCUUGUGUUGAAGAAACUUUCCCAAAGGAAACCUCGAUGAUAAACGUGCUGGCCUGGCUCGGUCAUUCGUCCCUCGCCAGGGGAUGAGAGCCACGGGUCCCCAGCUUUCUCUCUAGGUGUGUCUGUUUGUCUUUUCUUCAUCCCCUAUCGCCCCUUGUCCCGUUUCUGAACUAACAGCCAUGCAGGUGGCAGCAGCAGGGGACCCAGUCUGGGACUGGAGGCUGCAGAAGGCCCACAAGGCCUCAGCCCCCUCCCCUCUGCCCACUGAUGCUGGAGAGACCUGGGUCCGGAGAAGAACUGCAAGUGUGGUGUCAGGUGGUGGCUGUCACGGCCUCAGUGUAGGGAGACUGAAGUGACAGGACUGGGAAUGGAAAGCAGGAUUCGCCCAGGCAGCACUCCAUGUUACGUCAUGCCCCUGCACCCCCGAGGGAAGCUCUCAGCAUAGCGGGGAGCAGUCAAGAGAAAAAGCCAUUUCCUUAGAGCUCGGGGCCAAGGAAGGUCUGGCACAGCUGAGGACCCCGUGGUCCCCACUCUUCCCACAGGGGAGCUAAAUGUAAAUUUCAGGAGUAGAAUUUUGCGAACAUGCUUUGAGAAAUACACAUACUGGGUUAGAGGACAUGGAGAAGACUUUGACCGUGACAAGAGGGGUCCUGCGAAGACGAUUUGUAUGUGAAAGACGUGUUUCAUACUAUAACCGUGUUUUGUGUGUGCAUUUACUCC